AGGACGAACGCUGGCGGCGUGCCUAAUACAUGCAAGUCGAACGAGACUUUCAUCGGUGGUAACACCUUUGUCUGUCUAGUGGCGAACGGGUGAGUAACACGUGAGAAACCUGCCCUGAAGACGGGGAUAACAGAAGGAAACUUCUGCUAAUACCCGAUACCCCCAUCGGAUCACAUGGUCUGAUGAGGAAAUGGAUUCCGCUUCAGGAGGGUCUCGCGGCCUAUCAGCUUGUGGUGGGUAAU
rnacentral:rRNA from 1 species